AUUAAAUGAACUUUCGCUAAGCACGAAUAUGUCCUGUAUGCAACGCGAAAGUCAUCACGUCCUGUGAA
rnacentral:sRNA from 1 species